GCGCGAUUAGCUCAGUUGGCAGAGCACCUGACUCUUAAUCAGGGUGUCCAGGGUUCGA
rnacentral:tRNA from 1 species